ACGCUCGACACCUACGGGAGGAAGCAGUAGGGAAUAUUGCGCAAUGGGGGAAACCCUGACGCAGCAACGCCGCGUGGAGGAUGACACUUUUCGGAGCGUAAACUCCUUUUCUUAGGGAAGAAUUCUGACGGUACCUAAGGAAUAAGCACCGGCUAACUCCGUGCCAGUAGCCGCGGUAAUCUGAGCGGGCUGGCAAGGC
rnacentral:rRNA from 1 species